rnacentral:lncRNA from 1 species
AAAGUGAUUCUCAACAUUUGAUAUUGUUUGGGUAAUUUAACCAAAAUUGCUUUUAGAUGUGUAAAUUACUAAAAUGGGUUUAUUGGGUUUAUUUCAUAUGCAUAUAUUUAAAACUAAAUUUCAUUUAAUAUUUCAAUAUGGUUUUUUCUGGAUACAUUUCAAUACGGAUUUUAGUUCAAGACUUGUGAAGAUGAUUAUUUAAUUAAUUAAUUGAUGUAACCCACCUCAAGUUUUAUCUCAUUAAUAAAAAUAAUUUUCAAUUCAAAAACAAACAAAAAAGAAUUCUCUAGAACCUGACUUUUCAUUAAUAAAAAAUAGAAAAAUAGGACUAUGAACUCAAUUUCAUCUCGCCCAUUCUAAACUUGUGUACUUUUCUCUUGAAAUUUCCAUCUUCCUCAUUCUCAACUUGUGAAAUUCUUUUGUAACAAUUUGUGGAUGGCUAAAACAACUCCUCAAUCUUCCUCAUCCACUUUCAUUUUUCUGCACAAAAUAAGAAGAAAACGUUCCUGAGAAAAAAAUUGAAACUUGAAGAUGUUCAAUGAUGAAGAAGUUAGGGGUAAUUAGGUAAGUAUAUCCGUCACCUAAAAAUAAAUAGUAUGGAAUCGAUUUUGUUUUGACGUGGAAGCUCCAAUUUGUGGCUUCCAAGUGACGCACGUUUGGGGCUAGAUCUGCGUUUGAGGGAAGCGAUUCUGCAGUUAUCCAAACAUUGACAAAUUUGCUCAAAUCACGUUUCCUCAUCUAAACUCGCGUUUGGGGUAAAAAAACGCAGAACCAAACAGUCACUUAGU